UUGUAGUUCUGCAAAUUAAGCUCAUCAAUCACCUCCUGAAUCCCAUCAUCGCUAUUGUUGUCAUAGAUGAACCAUCUUUCAACACCAAGCCAAGCAUGGUAGACAAUCCACUCCCCGAGAAAAGAGGCUUGGUUCCACAGCGUACAAGCACAGAGCUCAUACUUCUUCCUACUGUAACUCCUCUGCCGCUGCAAAUUGGUGCUGUAAACUUUCGCCACAGAAGGCAGAGGCCCAUCAAUGGCAUCUUCACCAGCAUCAACCCGGCUAACUGUGACUCGAAUCCCCUGAGCCUUCUCCGGAUUCCUCCUAACACUUCGCGGCAUCAAACACCUAAUAACCUCUUGUGCAGCCGCAGUUGCUUUAGUAGUGAACACAAAUCCUUCAUUCUUGUCAAAGUUAGUUAAACCAAAGCGGCAUCUGAAUUGGGUUGGAUCUGAUUCCCUGUGUGGACGAAGAUUCAAUCCUUUAAC
rnacentral:misc_RNA from 1 species